GAUGAACGCUGGCGGCGUGCUUAACACAUGCAAGUCGAACGAGAACGGAUUAUAGCUUGCUAUAAUUGUCAGCUAAGUGGCGCACGGGUGAGUAAUGUAUAGGUAAUAUGCCUCUUACUAAGGGAUAACAAAUGGAAACGUUUGCUAAUACCUUAUACUCCUUAUUAACAGAAGUUAAUAAGGGAAAGAUUUAUUGGUAAGAGAUUAGCCUGUAUUGUAUCAGUUAGUUGGUGGGGUAAUGGCUUACCAAGACUAUGACACAUAACUGGUUUGAGAGGAUGAUCAGUCACACUGGAACUGAUACACGGUCCAGACUCCUACGGGAGGCAGCAGUGGGGAAUAUUGCACAAUGGACGAAAGUCUGAUGCAGCAACGCCGCGUGGAGGAUGACACAUUUCGGUGCGUAAACUCCUUUUAUAUGAGAAGAUAAUGACGGUAUUAUAUGAAUAAGCACCGGCUAACUCCGUGCCAGCCGCCGCAGUAA
rnacentral:rRNA from 1 species